ACGAAUCGUCCUUUGUAUGGACUUCGGUUUAUUAAAGAACAAAACGAUUACAAUUAUCUUAACUCAGAAUAUAAAGGAAAAUAAAGAACCGUAGACUACGCAGAGUCUGAAAAUGGUUUUCUUUUUAGAAGAAAUGAAAACGAGUAUGUCUUCACCCGAGGAAAUGGUAACUAAACACUUGCCUUUCCUCGAUAUUUAUACAUUUUUUGAGUGUGGUCCUGUGCGCUAGGGUCCAGGCUACCACACAAAACCACCAUGCCUUCUUUAAGGUCACAGAAUGGGGUUACAUGUUCUGGCUUUGAAGUUACUUGUAGAGAAACAUGAUGCAUGCCCUUAUUUGGGCUUAACAGAGAGACACAAUGGACAGGAGAUUGUGGUAUAGAGCUCUAACUUUGAAGCUGUAUGCAGAAAACAGGAUGUAUGCUUUUACUUGGUCCGUUUCAGUUUUAUUUCUAGGCACCACUUCUAAUUCAUUACGUGUUUAGUAAAGGUAGAUGGUCUGGGUUCUGUAUUAUUUUUAAUGCAGGCUCUUUUUAUUUCUUCUGUGUACAAUUGCCCAUAUCUCUGAUUUAGUUGCCUAAUGCCUUCGGCUCUCCUGUAUCUAGCACAAUCCUUCAAUCUCUCAGCUUCAGCUCUCAUUUGAUUCAAAACACCUAAUAUGCUAUCACAUUCUUUCUCUAAACGUUCAUGUUUUAAUAUCAGCUUUUCAGUUCUCUUCACAUCCAGAGUAUCGAGUUGUAAAUCUCGCAGGUCUUGCUGGAGGAGCAGAACAUCAGGAACAGCUUUCUUAGCGACCCCCGAAGCAGAAGAUUUUCCAGUCCGUCUUCGUUGCUAGGUACCUGGGGAACGGCUUGAGCCCUUUCUUUUUCUUGGCCCUUUUUUUCUCCUGACGUGGUUGUGUUUCCCCCGGGCUGUCAAGGUUGAGGUUCUUUACAUAGUUUAAUCAUAACACAGUUUAAUCAUAAUCACACAAUAUAAUACAUCAGCUUGUAUUUAAGCAAGAAAUAACGGUAGGGUUGAGGCUACAUAAUCCUGAGAUCUAAAUCUCCUACAAUACCCUCUCCUGGAGUCUCAGCCCUACAGUUCCAAGUAUCAUUAUCUACUAUCCCCACAGAAGCUGGGAAAGGUAGAAUGAAUGGGAGGUAAUCAUUGCACCAUAUUUGGACGCCUAGCUCGAAUUUGGCUAGAAUUUGAAAAUGCCAUUGACAAUUGUAAAUUUUAGGAAUCAGGGUACACUUCCACCAUUCUUAGUCCCUGUACAAAACAUGUGAAUUUAAGGGGCCUAAUCUGUGCAUAAAUUCUGGUUGGAAGCAUUAAGAAUCCUUGGGCAAUGAGCAUAAGUAAUUAACAUGGAGCCAGCAGUGGGUAAUACCCCUUGGCGGUCCCCAGAUCCUCAAGAUUCCCUUGGGACACCAGCCUCUGGCGAUAAGUUCCAUUCUGACUCCCCCAUCCGCCCUUAAGACCUCCAGCAUUACUGUAGGCUGUAAAACAGAUAUUUUUCGUGUAUUAGGCACAUGCCCAUUUGUCCUGUUGGCUGCCAUAGCACUUUGUAUUCAUCUACUACGGUGUGAAACAUUCCUUUGAAUUCUAUCAUGUUAUAAAAGAUUCUUUCUCCGUUUUCCUCCAUUUCGUAUUGGUUUAUCCACAUGUUCUGAGACUGCUUUUUCCAUUAGAAUGUCUGUAACUGUCACAGCGGCUUCGUCGAGGAAAACGUCAGACCUGAUUGUGAAAAAGGUACUAUCCUCAGAUGCCGUUUCUGCAUUUGAAACACUAUAUUUUUUUCCUUUAUACCGUAGCUUUUGAUAGAAGCUGGACUUGGCCUGCUGCUCCUCAUCCAAAUAUAAUUUUUCAAGCCACAUGACCUCCUCAGGGCAGCUAUCAACAUCAGAUAGCAGUUUGGAAGGUUCCUCCUGAUCAUCAGGCACUGCUGUUGCUGCAUCCUGCAGACCUGAGCAAGGCUUUUUGGAGGAGAUCAAGGUACCACUUGGACAUGCAUGAUCAUCUUUUUCCUCGGCACCACUGACUAAACUUGUCUGAUAUAAAAGAUGUGAAAUAUUUUUCACCAGCAUAUCACGCUCAUCCCGUGUAGCCUUGUUUUGGAUCUUGACUACUAUUUCAGUCAUAUCCUUGGCCUCAGAAGACGUCACUACAUUGGGGUCCAAACUUGUCUGAUAUAAAAGAUGUGAAAAAUUUUUCACCAGCAUAUCACUCACAGCCCAUGUAGCCUUGUUUUGGAGCUUGACCACUAUUUCAAUAAUAUCCUUGGCCUCAGAAGACAUCACUACAUUGGGGUCCAAACUUGUCGGAGAUAAAAUAUGUGCAAGAUUUUUCACCAGCGUAUCAUUCACAUCCCAUGUAGCCUUGUUUUGGAGCUGCACUGAAUCGUCAGUUUCAGGCUUAACAUCAGAUUCAGGAGAGAUGUUUUUGAGGGAUUUCUUUAACUCAUCAGCCACGGUCUUUAACGCUUGCACUGCAACUUUCAUUUUAGUGAUGCCUGUUUCAACUGAGUUACAUUUCAAAUCAGAGGAGUCUUCUGGUAAACUGGGAAUGAGAGAAAAUUGAUGAAAAAUCAUCCAUCGAAAUAAAAGAUAUUCUCACCACAAUAUUUAUGGCAAUAAAAUGAAAGUAUUUC
ensembl:lncRNA